UUGAAUUUGCUUGUAAUGGGCUUGGCCCAACUUAUAGCAGUUUUGUUCGUUUGCUUGAUCAAAGUGAUGCUACAAUUGACUUUGACGAAUUACAUGCUCGUUUGUUGACUGAAGAACGCAGAUUAAAGAAAGAAGAGAAAGUUGCUGUUGUGGCUCCAUCAGCCCAGUUUUCGCAAAGUCAGUACAAUGCCCGAGGGAGAGGGCGAGGCAGAGGACGUGGUCGUGGUAGGAACUC
rnacentral:lncRNA from 1 species